AGUUUAUAGAUGCGUUACAUCGAUUACAUUCAGAUUAAAAUAUAUGGGUGUAUGUAUUGGCAGACGGAAACCCCCUCUCGUGAAAGAAAAAGGCCUCCGUCUCACAAGUGCACAGGUGUGUGUGGAUGAAAGAGAAGGCGUGCACAUGCCUCCGUGAAGAGGCCAGCGACAACCAACUCUACAUUCAUUCAUUAAUGAUCCUUCCGCAGGUUCACCUACGGAAA
rnacentral:misc_RNA from 1 species